CCUACGGGCGGCUGCAGUGAGGAAUAUUGGUCAAUGGGCGCGAGCCUGCCCCAGCCAAGCAGCGUGAAGGAUGAAUGCCCUCCGGUUUGUAACCUUCUUUAAUAAAGAAAUAAAGUGAGUCACCUGUUCCUUUUUGUAUGUACUUUAUGAAUAAAGAUCGGCUAACUCCGUGCCAGCAGCCGCGGUAAUACGGAGGAUCCGAGCGUUACCCGGAUGUAUUGGGUUUAAAGGGAGCGUAGAUGGGUUGUUAAGUCAGUUGUGAAAGUUUGCGGCUCAACCGUAAAAUUGCAAUUGAUACUGGCAGUCUUGAGUACAGUUGAGGUAGGCGGAAUUCGUGGUGUAGCAGUGAAAUGCUUAGAUAUCACGAAGAACUCCGAUUGCGAAGGCAGCUUACUAAACUGCCACUGACAUUGAUGCUCGAAAGUGUGGGUAUCAAACAGGAUUAGAUACCCCAGUAGUC
rnacentral:rRNA from 1 species